AUGCAUACUAUAUUAUCUUUUAUGUAAUAUAUAUAUAUAUAUAUAUAUAUAUAUAUAUAUAUAUAUAUAUAUAUAUACACACACAUACAUAAUACUGGAUAUUUUAUA
rnacentral:miRNA from 1 species